UUUUUCAAAGAUACCACUUCAGCCCUGGUUUUCUUUUUAGUAGCUGAAGUUCUACUAAGCUCCCAUAUGCAGCAGGAGUUGUCUCUUCCCUCAGUCCCUUGAACAAAGAGUCAGGAGAGUUCAGAUGAAGGAAAACGCCUACACCACCACCGACCCACUGGAAUCUAGGCUGCCAACAUUCUAUUAUGCUGCGGGCAGGAUGUACAGGGCCCUGCCCCCACACCCCAGACCGACAGGAGGAAAAUCUCUGCUGUCAGCAUGUGGUUUCCUGACCUCUGGGUACCUCAGCAUGUCCACAUGUAAGAUGGAAAAUACAAGCAGCUCCCCCCUCACCGUGAGGAUGAAAUGAGCUAAUUCCCAUGAACUCUUCUGAACAGAGCCUGGUAUUCUUAAUUAUUGAUGAGUGCCUGGCAAUGCCCCCUCAAAUAUUCCCUUUGCUUUUUAAAAACUGAAAUGGAAAUUAGCAGCUUUGAUGUGAAACUGACUGUGUGAAAUAGAAGUUUCUCUUCUGUCAGGAUCCUUUAUAGCUGGGGCAGCAGACUCGUUCUGCAAAGGGCCAGACAGUAAGUGACUUGGGCUUUGUUGGCCCUGAGGACAACCUUUUUAGAACUGUCAACUCAAAUGCAAAACCAGUUGUGGACAAAAUGUAAACAAAAUGUGCAUGGUCGGGUUCCAAUAAAACUUUAUAUGAGCACUGA